rnacentral:rRNA from 1 species
CCUACGGGUGGCAGCAGUGGGGAAUAUUGGGCAAUGGGCGCAAGCCUGACCCAGCAACGCCGCGUGAAGGAAGAAGGCUUUCGGGUUGUAAACUUCUUUUAUCAGGGACGAAGCAAGUGACGGUACCUGAUGAAUAAGCCACGGCUAACUACGUGCCAGCAGCCGCGGUAAUACGUAGGUGGCAUGCGUUAUCCGGAUUUACUGGGUGUAAAGGUCGUGUAGGCGGGAGUGCAAGUCAGAUGUGAAAACUAUGGGCUAAAACCAUAGCCUGCAUUUGAAACUGUAAUUCUUGAGUGCUGGAGAGGCAAGAGGAAUGACGGGGGUAGCGGUGAAAUGCGUAGAUAUACGGAAGAACACCAGUGGCGAAGGCGGA